ACUUGAUUUCCAUUUAAUGUUGAUUUCUUCUUCAAUUGCAGUUUGUAACUUUUUAAGAUUCAUGAUUAUAUGUCUUGUAUCAGUUCGAAAUUGUUGGGUUAUUCACUCCGGUCACUCCACCGAAAGAGAUUGGGAGGUGGAUUGAGGAGGAUGCUUCCGUUCUUGUUCCUGCUGAUAUAAAUCAUAUAAUCAACAUUAAGUUUGGGGAUAUUAUUCCAGCACAUGCUUGUCUCCUCGAUGGUGAUCCACUGAAAUUGAUCAGUCUACACUUGUCGGUGAGUCACUUCCUGUGAUCAAAGGCCCUGGUGACAUUGUGUAUUUGGGGUCUACAUGAAAACAAGGAGAGAUUGAAGCUGUGGUGAUUGCCACUAGUGUUCAUA